rnacentral:rRNA from 1 species
AGUGAACGCUGGCGGUAGGCCUAACACAUGCAAGUCGAACGGCAGCACAGGAGAGCUUGCUCUCUGGGUGGCGAGUGGCGGACGGGUGAGGAAUACAUCGGAAUCUACUUUUUCGUGGGGGAUAACGUAGGGAAACUUACGCUAAUACCGCAUACGACCUACGGGUGAAAGCAGGGGAUCUUCGGACCUUGCAAGAUUGAAUGAGCCGAUGUCGGAUUAGCUAGUUGGCGGGGUAAAGGCCCACCAAGGCGACGAUCUGUAGCUGGUCUGAGAGGAUGAUCAGCCACACUGGAACUGAGACACGGUCCAGACUCCUACGGGAGGCAGCAGUGGGGAAUAUUGGACAAUGGGCGCAAGCCUGAUCCAGCCAUACCGCGUGGGUGAAGAAGGCCUUCGGGUUGUAAAGCCCUUUUGUUGGGAAAGAAAUCCAGCUGGUUAAUACCCGGUUGGGAUGACGGUACCCAGAGAAUAAGCACCGGCUAACUUCGUGCCAGCCGCCGCAGUAA